AGCCAAGAGUGGCAUGAGCGCAACCAAAUAGUGGUGAAAGCUAGAGGUUCGCGGCAUGAGGCGCCCAAUGUGGGCCUUCUGCCGAAGAAGUAGGGGCGGGGGGAAGUUUAGGAGUUGAGGAAAGAAGAUUAAAGAGCGCAAGGAGGUAUGCAUAAAGAAGUGUUAUGAAUUGCCCUUUGAGACUCUGAAGGCCAAAGAGUACCAGAUAAAUUGCAAGUCUGUUGUGUCCCAUAGCAGACUGCCUGAAGUUACAUUUAGAGACUGAAAUCACUGCACCUUAAAAACAAAAGAUUGAGCUGCACUGUAUUCCUGUAAGUAGAAGCUUCCUGUACCUUCCUCUGUUUUUCUGUGACUAACCUCAAAAACGGAC
rnacentral:lncRNA from 1 species